rnacentral:lncRNA from 1 species
UAGAAAUGCUGCAGAUAUUUGUGUGUUGACUUUGUAUCCUGAAAUGUUUAUCUUUUUGAAUAUUGCUUCUCAACAAAAUUAUACUUGUGCCCCAUAAAUUUAUACACAUAAAAUAAAUAAGUAGCUUUAAAAACAAAAACAAAACAAAAGAAAUUGGCAAUUUAAAAUCUCUACAUCUUUUAUUCACAAAUGCUCUGUGAAGCAGGCAGGGAGAACGCAUAUUAUAUGUUACUCCAUCUAAGAACGAUGUCUGGUGAAAAUACCCAUUACUUCCCCGU